GAUCAAUGAUGAAAAUAGCUGAAUCUGAGCAUCAGAAGACCUUCCAGUCUGCCUGAUGCAUGAUCUUCAUACUUCUGAGA
ensembl:snoRNA small nucleolar RNA U2-19